CGUGCAGGCGGUUCCGCAAGUCAGACGUGAAAGCUCCUGGCUUAACUGGAGAGGCCGUUUGAUACUGCGGGACGUUGAGGUCGGGAGAGGGACGUGGAAUUCCCGGUGUAGUGGUGGAAUGCGUAGAUAUCGGGAGGAACACCAGUGGCGAAGGCGGCGUCCUGGCCCGUACCUGACGCUAAGACGCGAAAGCGUGGGUAGCGAACG
rnacentral:rRNA from 1 species